AUGGUCUCCACUGAAACUGUGGAGGGAGGGGUGAGUGGACUCAUUAUCAGCCAGCAGAGAUCAAAGUCCCAGAUUAUUGCUUGGCCUUUUCUGACACCACUCCAGCAGGGAUAUUGGGGUGCCUCAUCACAGCCUUGCCAGAGGGGAAGGCCCCUUUCAUCUGCAGAAACCAAGGAUUAUAAAUCUGGAAGCUCAGCUGCAGCCCAUCCAUAUCAAGGUGUUGUUAACAUUAGGACCCCUGUCUACCAGCAGUCUCAGGUAUUCCUUUAGAGCAAUACAAAAUGGACUAACACAGCCUGGAAGGACAAAUACCAAAUGGAGUUGGGGCAGGAAUCGGAAUAAAGGUCCUGAAAUUAGGAUGGAAGAGCA
rnacentral:lncRNA from 13 species